GACGGGGCCCGCACAAGCGGCGGAGCAUGCGGAUUAAUUCGAUGCAACGCGAAGAACCUUACCAAGGCUUGACAUACACCGGUAACGCCCAGAGAUGGGUGCCCCUUUGUGGUCGGUGGACAGGUGGUGCAUGGUUGUCGUCAGCUCGUGUCGUGAGAUGUUGGGUUAAGUCCCGCAACGAGCGCAACCCUCGUCCUAUGUUGCCAGCGGGUCAUGCCGGGGACUCAUGGGAGACUGCCGGGGUCAACUCGGAGGAAGGUGGGGAUGACGUCAAGUCCUCAUGGCCUUUAUGACCAGGGCUACACACGUACUACAAUGGCCGGUACAAAGGGCAGCGACACAGCGAUGUGAAGCCAAUCCCGAAAAGCCGGUCUCAGUCCGGAUUGGAGUCUGCAACUCGACUCCAUGAAGUUGGAAUCGCUAGUAAUCGCGGAUCAGCACGCCGCGGUGAAUACGUUCCCGGGCCUU
rnacentral:rRNA from 1 species